GCCAUCUUUGUUAAGGGAGAGUGGGCCUGUCUCAUCCAUUGAAUUCACAAAAGAAAAGGGGCGUGAGGGAGGAGGUCUUUAGCUGCAAAGACAGAGACUCUAACACGCGUAACAAAGGCCCAGAGAUCCGAUCCAGACACAGAGCAAGGCAGAGACCCACAGAGGUUGGAUGAGGCAAUAAGAGAGCUGGGAGGAGAGGGAGAGUGGGGAAAGUGAAGGAUACUUUUUUUUCGGACAGUUACAGAGUCAGAGAGACCCAGAGAAAAGCAGAGAUAUAAACAAGAGACCAAAACAGUGGGAUUGAGAAUGUGCAAGGCUGGAGUGCAGCGCGAUCUCGGCUCACUGCAACCUCUGCCUCCCGGGUUCAAAUGAUUCUCCUGCCUCAGUCUCCCGAGUAGCUGGGAUUACAGUAUGAGGAUCUUGGCUUUUAGAUGGUCCCUUACCUGGUCCUGCUGCUCCUCUGCUUCAAGGUGUCCAUUCAUCUGCUGGUCCU
rnacentral:lncRNA from 1 species